rnacentral:lncRNA from 1 species
AGAAGGGACAGCACUUCUCUGGAUCCCCCAGGGAAACUAUCCAAAUGCUCACUUAUGUUCAUGUUUUCUCUUCUUUCCCCCUCACAGCUGAAGGAUGUUAGCUGAGAUCUAGAACCUUCUCCUGCCCUGGUUGCUGCUAAGACCUCAUCCUCUGGAUGCUAAACCCUUGGCUCCAAAAAUCCCAUGACUGCAAGGGAUUUGGAGGCAGAAUCUUCUCUGAUGAUUCAUUGCCAAAAUGCCAUCCGUCACAAAGGAACUGUGGUGGGCACGUUUUAUUUCUUGUUCUAACUAGAUGGACUUCUAUUCCCAGAUGGCUUUAGAAAGUUCUUCCUUAUAUGGAUCCAAACUUGCCUCCCUCCAACUUCUGGUCUACUCUGUUCCUCCUCCUGUGCCUACUAAACAAGAAUUCUCCUUCUGCCUCCAAGCAGCGUUUAGUCAAGGUGGGCAGCGGCCGUGUCUUCUCUCUUUUGUCCCCACAAACGUCUAUAUCGGGCUCGUCAUUCCUAGUUCUUUCCAAGACUUUUCAACUGGCCCAGCUCCUUGGAGGUACCCUGGCAUCAUGGAAAAAAACAAACACGAGGCUUGGAAUUCAAUGCCAGGGGAUCCUGAUCAGCCUCAAAACGACCUUGGUUAUUGGUUAAAAUCACUGAUCCUCUCCAGACCUUGCUUCCCCUUCCAUUAGUUGUGAGGGUCAGACCAGGUAAGCUUUGAGGUUGUAGGCUGGGUUCUUAAAAUGCCCUUAAAAUGUCACAGGCACACGCUGGUCUUGGCAUGUGUCUUCGCCUGUGGUAUAACCCGUCUUCCCUUGGACUAUGGUAUUUGGACGGUAGAAACAGGCAGAGGAAGAGCAGAUUCAUAAUGGCCCUUUAUUGUAUUAAAAUCCACCUAAAACCUCACCUCUUAUUUCACGGCGUGUGUAUGAAAUAAAAGUAAUAGAAAUUAAGAGGAAUCAACCUGGGAGCUUGGCAUCGCUUCACCCUGGCUCCAACCCCCAGACGAGUCCAGUCUUCCCUUUCCAGGAAAUUUUUAGAAUGUUCCUGCCCCACACAGUUGUAUGCUUGUUUCCCCACCACCCCCCCGCCCCGCCCCAGACCUACAAGUGGAAAAAUCUCCCUGUUUGCUUUCCCAUUUGAAAGAUACAAGCAAGACAACCCCCCACAUAGGAUUUUAUGAAUGGAGCAAGAGAGAAACAUCAGCGAAGGACUUGUCUGGGGCUGUUUGAAGUUAAAGGGUCAAAGUGAGACUGGGAACUAGAAGAAAAAAAAAAAAAAAAAGGUGUUGUCUGGGCUCCAGUGACAGAGAAGUCAUGUCAUCGGAGAACUAGCCCAGCCCGGACUGGGAAUGUGAUGAGCUUCCGAUUAAAAAGCCAGGAAGGCCAGUAUCUCCAGUCUGAGCAGAGGAACCUCAUGUGAGCAGAGGAACCAUGCUCCUUCCCCUCCUUGACCAGGGAAAGGUCUAUUGGUCAGCUCUUUGGUCUGUCCUGCCUCUCUACCUUCCUGCAUUUCUUUCCUAGUGGCACAAUCACCCUUCCCGCCGCUGGUUUUGCAGCCAGAACCAAAAAAUAGUUCUAAAUCUUGUAGUGUGUUUAGCGUCUAAAGGGCUCACAUAUGCACUGUUCCCCUUGGAGCCUGUGCUGUGACACACGGGCAGACACGGCCCGGGAGGGCUUACAGUCCCACUUUCCUGAUGAGCCUGCGGUUGAGAGGAGGAAAUCGUGCAACAUUCAGGCCUUGUCCAAGUCAAACUCCCCGGGCAAACUACCUUCUUGUGGAGUUGGGUUGGGCCUAUUUAGGGAUUAUGUCUGGUGGGGGCGUGGGGGAGAAAUGCAGAAAGUGACAGUGUUAAGAAAAUGACCCAAAAUCUUAGAGAAAACGUGAAUUUCCAAAAUUUGGGCUCCUGCCCAGUGCCCAGGGCUACAUCACCAGUCCCAGAACCCUAUGCCUCCAGAUGAUGGGCUGAGAGGGAAGGGGGAUGUCUGGACUAUUCUUCCUGCAUGGCCACACUUUCUACACACGCAUAAGAUCCCCGAGGCUCUCGGAAACAGGUCUGGCAAAGGGGCCAGCCGUCCAUCCCGCAGAGCUGAUGGGGUGCAACAGUAACCCCAGUGAGGUCAGAACACAGAGUCAAACCCCAGCGUUCAGAACACAUCCUCUGCCAACCAAACCUAGAUCCGGUCCGCCCAGUGAAAAUAUAAACAGCCCUGUAGAAAUGACUGGUAUCGAAUGAAGACUCGCUCCUUUGUAUCUCUUUAGCCCGUGGUGAUGCAGAUGUCUAUCCUUUUCAAAGUGUUUUCACAAUCCAGCAUCCCGCUGGGGGCUCAAGGCAUGUCUUCCUGCCCCGUAGUACAGGUGAGAAGGUGAGGCCCAGAGAGGGGAAGACAUCUUCCCAGAGCCCCAGGGAGUGAGCAGCAGGGCUGGGUGAGGACCCAGGCGGCCCCGCUCCACCCCUGGCGGUCUCUUCGUCUCACAGUUUCCCUUGGCAGCUGCCACCUCCCAGGUGCUCACCUGAAUGGAGCCCAGUUGGGCUGUGAACUGGCCUGAGUUGCAGGGAAGGAAAGUAGCCUGGGCCAGGGGAGGAACAGGAGGCGUGUUUCCCUUGGCUUGGUGGUCACCAAAUGCAGACACUGCUCACUCCCACCCCACCGCCGCCUCCUCCCCCUGUUCCGUACAUCAAGUCCCUUCCUUUUUGCCUUUAUUUGCUCUGGAGAUGGCUGAAAACCCGUCCGUGGCUGCCAGCAGGACCUGAAGCUGAGGUCACUCCUCUCUUUAGAAAGACUCCGGGGAUGGAAAAGUGGAAAAGUACAGCCAGCCCCCCCAGUUCAUCUCCCUCAAAAUAUAAAGGGCCUCCUUUGGGCUCUCCUUGGACACUGAAAAGUCCCUUGAAUGUCAGCACAGGGGGGACAUCUCAGAGUCAUGGAGCCUUAGACUGUGGGCCUUGGAAUCAUAGGCUCUUAAGAACGUGAAGCACAGAAUUUGAGCUGUAAUCAUCAAAUCUGAUUUGAAGAGAAAGAGGUUUAUGGAGCAGGGCAGUCUAAGAGAACCUUCUGGAGAUGAUGCAAAUAUUCUCUACCUGCAGUGUCCAACGUGGUAGCUAUGGUUGGCGAACCCUUGAAAUACCGCUAGUGUGGGCGAACUGAAUUUUUAAUUAUAUUUCAUUGUAAUUAAUUUAAAUUUAAGUAGCCACAUGUGGCUAGUGGCUACCAUAUUGGAGUGAUUACACACUUUUAUAGAAACGGCAGAACAGAAAGGUAAGCUCGUGGGCUCUGGAGACAGAGCGUACAGAUUCAAAUCUGCCGCUUAGCAACUGUGUGACCUUCGGAAAGUAACUUUCCCUCUCUGGGCCUCAAUUCGUUUCUCCAUCGGUAAAACGGAAAUAACACACCUACCUUGAGAGGCUCACGGGUGAUUUAUAUGAGAGAAUAGAAGUAAGCAGUGUUGUUUGCAAGAACACCCAAGGAUCCCAGAAUAUCUAUCCCCCCCUCAAGAAUCCAGGGCAAGAACCCCAGCUCUUGCCUGUGGCCUAGGAAGAGAGGGUGUUGGGGUGGAACAAAGGAGGCAUUGCUCCUCUUGGUCAAGGGGACACUAUCCCAGCCUCCAGAGAACACAGUGACGAAGCCUGGGCCCCAGGCCGGCCCCUUCGUUGGCCUGCUGACGCAAACCAAGCAUCUCUCUCCCACUGUUUGGCUUGGAAACAAGGGUUCCAAAAACACACGUUCCUGGUAAACAAGCCUAAAGAGAGAAAAACAAGUCUGGAGGCUAAUAAAGGAACCCCCUCUGCGAGCCAGGCCCGCCAGAGAGCUGGGACUUGGAAGGAGGGCCGGGCCAGGCCGGAGACCUGGCACUCACACCAGGGAGAGAGCACCGCCACUCAGAGGUGGUCUCGUGACACAGAAGUCGGGAGUCCUGGGACUGCGGUCUUGGCAGCAUUGUUCCCAGCUCACCAGGCAAAUUUAGGGAAGGCUCCUUCGCUCCCUGGACCACACCUGGCCCUGCUCAUGUGCACAAUGAGGAGGUUGUUUUAGAUCAGUGGUGCUCAAAAUUACAUAAGCCCUUUCUUUCAAUGAGGUCUUCUGCAAAGUCCAAUAUUUGAAGCAGCCUUUGGCAUUUGUUGAAACAUGAAGGCGUUUAUCUGUUCAGUGAAUCAGCGUGAAAUUAAAAAAAAAAAAAAACAAAAGCAGGCAAAAGUGAUGCUGAGAAGGGGGCUGAAGGUCCUACACACUCGGACACCCCUGAGACAUGUUGGAGCAUCUCUGGGUUCUCCUAUAAACACAGUUUGCAAACCCUGGGGCAGCGUCGUCCCUACGGUUUCUUUCGGCUCUGGCUUUCUAAGUCAGCUCAGGCAGAAACCUGUCAGAGUAUCACCCCACCCAGCCUGUCCCUGGACUCUGCUUCCAAUUUUAAUAUUUCUUGCUGGAAGAGAAGAAUCUGAGGGAAACUCAAGCUCAAGCCCAGAAGUGAAGAGGUUCUGGGGCAGCUCUGAAGCAGCUCCAGAGUCUGGGACUGGGAUCAGCCCGAGAUUCCAUAAAGGCAUCUAAGAUGCCACGUUUCACUGUUUCAUCGUGGUUAGGAGAGGCCCCGGGUGGAGCUUCAGGCUUUCCUCCUUGGCUCCCUCUAGGGGCCACUGCUGCAAAUGGGGUGACCACAAAUGGAGGGGAUGAGAGCUCAGACUGUCACAUCCCUAGGAUAGUAAAUACAUGGUGAAUAUGUCUCCACAUGCUCCUCCAGUACAUGUGGCAGACCUUACUAAUCAAGCACAGGAUCUUUUUCCCCUAAAGUGCAGAGUGGAGUCUAAAUCUUGAACAAGGUUCUUCUAGCAGCCACUACCUAUGGAUUAGCAUUGGCAAGCCAUGUGAAACCUGUCUGCCAUGCUUCUGAUUUGAGAGACAAAAGGAAUUGAGGCUCAGAGAGGAAAAGUAGCUCAUUUAAGGGUCCCACAGCAGGCGGGUGUCAAAGCUUAACUUCCAGAUGUUCAGGAACCUCCAGAUGUUUACCUUGUUUCGUUUCUUAUUUCAUCUGAUCAGUCUGGGAUCCUCAUGCCAUGACUAAUAUAAGAUGACCCAGAGGGAUCCCCGGAUAAGAUAGGCUAAUAACCAGUUUCUGAAAGAACCCAGUUCUGGACACAGUUGGUAUCUCCAUCCAUAUUUUUUCUAUAGACACCGAGCUCUAUGUCUUGAGAAUGGGGGCAGAACUAAUUUCCUACCUAAGCCAUCUCUCCCUCCUGGAUAACAGGAGGCUGUUUUUCUAAAGGAUUCUGCCAAGUCACUGCUUGCUGCCUCUGGCUCUGCUCAGCCCAGCCAUCCCCGAGUUCAGGGUUGGGGAUAGGAUCCAGGCCGUCUGCUGUAGAGAAGAGGUGGCUUCGUUAAUCCCCAGGGUUGGCCGAAAGCUCAGCUCCAGCCCUCUCUUACCUCCUUUAAAGACAGGAUAGGGAAGGAGACAGCAAGAAGCAAAUGAACAGCCACCUAUUAGCCACAUUGUGCCGUCCUGAUGGCAUAAUUCCCUAAUGAGGCCUGGGAUAGGCCAUUGCUGGCCAGCAAAGGAGAGAGAGAAAGUACUGCUCCUCACUUAUCAUCCACAGGGCUUGUUGCCUGUACAAACAUGAAACCAAAGUGAUCAGAUGAAAACAAAAAAAGAAAGAAGAAAGAAAGAAAGAGAGAAAGAGAGAAAGAAAGAAAAAGAAAAAGAAAAAGAAAAAGAAAAAGAAAAAGAAAAAGAAAAAGAAAAAAGCGAACAUUUGGAUAUUUCCGAACAUCUGAAAGUUAGGCUCAGACAUCAGUUGGCUGUGUGACCUUGAAUGAGUUAUCUUCCCUCUCUGAUCCUCAGUGUCUCUAUCUGUGAAGUACAGCCAGCGAUUUGGUACUGUAUGUGUGUGACAUGUCUACCUCCUUGUCAUCGUCUGUAGUUACGUGUGGCUGCGCACAACAGUGUGUGGUUGCAAAUGGUAGUUGUGUGUGUGUGUGUAACGGACAGUGUGUCUGUGUGUAAGUUACGUAUGGCCCUGAAGACCAUGUGAAGCUGUGUAUGUGUGUCUUUGUGUGUCCACCUGGCUCAGCAUCUGUCUGUUUCGGCCUGUGGAAGGAAGGGUCAGAGUUUGUAUGUGCAUCAAGAUGCACACCUGGGACUUGUCUGUGCUGUGUUGUGAGCCGGCAUAUGGUUCAGGGAGAGGUAUGUGAGAGUAUGGCCUUCUGUCUUUGCUCACGUGUGGAGGCACUUAUUUUUAGCUCUACCAGCGGGGGCCUGUUGGUAAAAGCCGUGCUCAGAAUCUGCAUCCUCAUGGGUUCGUGUCUGCCCCUGUUUAUCUCCACACACCUACGUAAAUAAUCUCAAAAGCCACAUAUUCUCCUAUUUACCUCGCAUCCUGAGCGCUUGCCUUUCCACCAACAUCCUUUCCUAUUUAUAGCUUAUUUUCAUCAAGGAAAGCUGCUCUUGUAAAUAGCAAACCCCAGCCAUGCUAUUGGUUGACAAGUCUCCUCGGAGGGAUAAAGGUUUUAGCAGGACUAUUAUGCAACCCAAGAUCCUGUAGCCCCUCCUCUCUUGUUUCCUUUUCAAGUAGGCAAACGGGGGUGUUAAAAGUGUAGGCCAGUUACUCCUUCUCAUGAAGGCAACCUCUGGGAUUUAGGUUUGCACGCCCUUGCAGAGCUGGAAGGGCCCCGGGAGACCAUCUAGCUGCCCCAUUUAACAGAUUAGGAAACUAAGACCCAGAGAGGGGAAGGGUCUUACCUAAUGUCACUCACUGUGAGUUAAGACUCACCUCUACCAUAGCCUUGGCCAAUGCUCUUUUCACACUGGGAGGUACAACACUCUUGGGAAAUAUGAAGGUGCCCAAAUCAAAAUGGAUUUAAACAAUAUUUUGCUUAAAUUGUGCCUGUCAGCACUUUUAGUAAAGAGAAGUCAUAUACAAACCCAAGAUGAUGGAGCUCCCGGGCCAAAAAAAGCUGGAAAUGAUUUCAUUAAGUCUCUGGAUGCCAUAAAUUUAUCAGUUCUAAAAACCCAUUGCAUUAGGUGGGAGGACCACAGUUCACCAAUUGCUUCCUGUGUGUCAGCCCAUUUCUUCCACAGGAUAGCCCUUGGAGGUGACGGUUGUUAUUGUUCUUUAAUCAAGGAAGAAACUGGGGCUCAGAAGGGAGAACCGAUUAGUUCAAGGUCAAAUGGCACCCCGGGGACAGCAGCGGAACAAAAACUCUUCAAACACCCAAGUCAGGGAGGCUUAUCACAGCCCCACAGCUGCCCUGGGAUCCUGGGAGAUCAGCAGGGCAGGACCUAGAGUUUGCUGUCCUGGUGUCUGGGGAUUGAGUGAAGGAGGGGACAUUCAGAUGGAGCCUGACGAGCCUGACCCUGACGUUCUGAGUCUUUCAGUGUCCCCUCCCAGCCAGCAGGCAGAGACCCUGAAAAAAAGGUUACCGUGGCAACUCACAUUCCUCCCAGAAUGAGUCACGGCAAAGAAGAGCCUUUCUGUGGGUGGGACUUGGAGAAAGUUUCAAAAGUUGAUUCCUUCUCCAGGCACCCCUUCCCCCCUCCUCUCUCCCUGGGCAAUUCGCCGCCUUCAGGCUUUGUCGAUGUGGCAGCUGAGCACUCUGAGUUAACCCUCUCUUCCCCCAACCACUCUCUUUCAAAAUUGUUUAUCAUCCUGCAAAUAUACAUCUGCUUCCAGUCCCACCCACACUCCAUCGCCCACGUCGUCAUGCCCUCUGGCUAUCUGGGGGUAGUGCAUCCAUUUGAAUAUAUGUUAAGACUAAAGGCUGUGAAUACCCCUUGUUCUCGUUCUCUCUGUCUCAUACACACACACACACACACACACACACACACACACACACACUACUGUACAUAUAAUUUUAAGUGGCUUGCAGAUGCUUGAAGCCCAUUCAAAGGCCAGUCCAUGGAUUCCAGUUUAAGAGAACUUCCCUAGAAAGUUUCAGAUGACGUCAGGCACCCAGAAGACCAAGUCCAGUCUUCUUACUUUACAGAUAGGGAAACGAAGUCCAGAGGACUCACUUACCUAAGAUAACACAUAGAAUGUGUGCUUUAAGUCUGCCAACCUACUUCUUAAUUGCUUCUCAGCACUUCUACCAUCAGCACUUGGAGGUGAUAGAAAUGCAACCCUAGAGAAUUGCUGGUGGAAACAUUUUCUCCAUGUGUUCUGCAUAGAAUGCUGUCCUUUCUGGAGGAAAAUGUGUGCCUCUCUGUUCUCUUUUGGGCAGGCUGGGCUUCCUUGAAGACAUGCUUCAUCUUAGUGCCCCCUUUAUCCUUGAUGUGUCUCAGACCCCAGGAAGUCCCCUCAUCACCCAGCCAAUGGAGCCAGUGAAGGUAAAGACGGUAGAGAUGGGAAGGAGGGCGUCCAAAGAGGACUUAACAUCCUAAAAGGUUAGACACCAGUCCCAUGUAGAGUUUGGGCUUUUCAAAUAAGGUGGUGUGAAAGAGAUGCCCUGGGACUCUCUCUUGCCUUCCCCCUUCUCCCCUUCUUGGCACAUCCUCCGCCACACCCAGCCUCCCAAAGGACCCAGGUGUCUUGGUUGGAUGAUAUCAGAUGCCUGGGGUCUUCAGAUCUACCUACACUAAGGGCCACUGCCAGUGAGUUCCUGUGUUUAUACCCCGGGGCAGCCCCAGAUGGGAACAAUGCCUAACCCAGGAAUGACUGUCUGACGGUGCUAUUUCAGAGUGUGUGGGUUGGGGGGGGAGGGGUCACUGGGGGAGAAUUCCAGGGAAACAGGAACCUUCCCAGGGUGCUGAUUAAAGGUGGAGACCCCCCCCCCACUUGCCCUCCAGAGAUCAAUUUAUCUCUCAUGCAAAGUCCCUUUUGGAGAACAGAACCCCCGACCAAGAACCCAGUCUAGGAAGUAUCUUCUGGAAGGGGGAGCAGGGCAGACUCUGGCCGCCCUCUGUCCCUGUGCAGCUGUGACCAGAUCAGAUUCCCAGGAAAGGAGGCUGCCACAUUUGUGAAGGGAGCAAAGAGGAUAGGCAGGCAGCCUCUGAAACCAGAGAGCCAAACACACACACAGAGAAAACACUCCCCCAAAGACACAAUGAGAUUAUUUUUCUGCAAACCUAAAAGGGAGACAAAGUUAUACCACCUGGAAAGCAACAGGCAGCCAGUCCGCGGCUCCUGCCCUUCGCGGCAGUGGUGAUGGAGCCCAAAGGAGAUGCGCGCCCCGUCCCUGACCCAGAGACCUCCCAGCCCAGCUUCUCUUUCUGUACACAAAGUGCAGGAGUGAACUAGGGUGUAGGGGCUGGGCACUGGAGAAGGGGAAGGCCGGGUGGGGGUCGUGCGUACCUCGGUGGCAGGCAGGCGGGCAGCAGGCAGAGUGCUCUGGGCUGUGUGAAGGUCUGCCGGAAUGUGGAGGGUUUAGAGCCGGGCAACAGGAAACCACUAGGAGCUCUGGGCUGGGUCUGUCUCCCCUCCACCCCUCAGUCCCUCCUCCUCCUCCUCUGUCUCCUCCUUCCCCCCCUCCCCUGCCUCCCCAUAGCCAAAGCCGGCUAUGUCUUCCAGAUUUUUCUUUCUCUCCUUGCUGUCCUGACCAGACUCCCCAACUCUGCCUGCCUCGUGGGUUCUGGGACUGCUGCCUACACAGACUCAUGGAGUGCCAGGGCUGGAAGGGUCCACAGGAAUCACCAGGAACAACCUCCUCGUUGUUCAGAGGGGAACUGAGGCCUGGAAGGGGCCAGGGAUUACCCAAAGGCCCCCAGGGGCAGAGCCAGGCCCAGAUGUCCUGACUUUGUGACCAGGGAUCUUUACAAGAGCCCUCCCGAACAUUAGGCAAUACUGAGGAGGGCAAAGCAAUUCAAGGGGGUUGUAUCUGUGACAAAGGCAAAGCCGGGACUCGCCUCUGUACAGACAAGAGAAGCCGCCUCUGGUGGCAUCAUCAUUGAUGAUUUGGGAUAUGAUCUAAAAAUAACAACUCUGACUCAAGUUGCACGACUAAUAACACAAGAGAUGAGCUUUCUAGCCAGGGAAUCGGUCAUCAGUAUAGAGUAGAUAAGGUGAUUGAUGAUAGUGAUAAUAAUCAUAGAAGUAACAAUAGCCAAGGUUUACUGACACUUAAUAAUCUUCACCAGCAACCCCUUAACUUAGAUUUUGUUAUGAUCCCCAUUUUACUAAUAAAGAAACAGAGGCUCAGGGGGACUAAGUCACUUGCCCAAGAUCACCUGGUUUAAAGUGGUAUGGGCAGGCUGAGUCCACAUUUCAACUUGGCUCACUCUUAUGCUACAUGAACUUCUUGGUACAACGGGUCUUGGUUGAACAUUUAUGAGAAUAUUGAUGAAUAUAUCAAUCAUAUAUAUAUGAUGAAUAUAUAUAU